rnacentral:sRNA from 1 species
UGUUUAACUUUUUUUUUGUAUUUUUU